UACUUUGAGAGUUGAAGGUUC
rnacentral:misc_RNA from 1 species